rnacentral:rRNA from 1 species
UACGUAGGCAGCGAGCGUUGUUCGGAGUUACUGGGCGUAAAGGGUGUGUAGGCGGUUAUUUAAGUUUGGUGUGAAAUCUCCCGGCUCAACCGGGAGGGUGCGCCGAAUACUGAAUGACUUGGAGUGCGGGUGAGGUGAGUGGAAUUCCUGGUGUAGCGGUGAAAUGCGUAGAUAUCAGGAGGAACACCGGUGGUGUAGACGGCUCACUGGACCGUAACUGACGCUGAGACACGAAAGCGUGGGUAGCAAACAGG